CCUACGGGCGGCAGCAGUCGAGAAUCAUUCACCAUGGGGGAAACCCUGAUGGUGCGACGCCGCGUGGGGGAAUGAAGGUCUUCGGAUUGUAAACCCCUGUCAUGUGGGAGCAAAUUAAAAAGAUAGUACCACAAGCGGAAGAGACGGCUAACUGGGUGCCAGCAGCCGCGGUAAUACAGAGGACCCAAGCGGUUACCGGAAUCACCGGGCGUAAAGGGUACGUAGGCGGUUUCGUAAGUCGUGUGUGAAAGAGGCGGGAGAAACCCGGGAACGGCACAUGAUACUGCGAGACUAGUGUAAUGGAGGGGGGACCAGAAUUCUAGGUGUAGCAGUGAAAUGCGUAGAGAUCGGGAGGAACACUCGUGGCGAAGGCGGGUUCCUGGACAUUAACUGACGCUGAGGCACGAAGGCCAGGGGAGCGAAAGGGAUUAGAUACCCCAGUAGUC
rnacentral:rRNA from 1 species